UCUUUAUCUUGGAAAGGGAGUCGCGAGUUAGAUCGCUUCCAGUGUUGCUGCUGAUCUAGAGGAGUACCAGCUUCAGGUAGUGUUGGUUUUUGGUUCUUGUACAUAUUGAUAUUAGAUCCUCGCAGGAGCGAGUGCCUUUGUAUCUGGAGACUAUGUAUGCAUAGUGAACCGAUGUUAUUUAUAUAAUUUUAGUUUUAUUAGCAGCUCUAUACUACUGGUUGUAGUUUCGUAUAUUUACAGGUACAGGUACAGCUAUCGCUUCGUAUAUAGGAAAUUUUUUUUUGUAUACGGCGGAUUUGUCGGCGUGCCCGAAAAAACGAGUAAUCUGGGGCGUGACAGAUUAAGUUGGUAUCAGAGCUUAGCAUUAGGUCCUUGGGACCUAGGAACCUUAAGCUUGGCAACCCUUAGGAAGGCAAGACGUGGGAGGCGUGAUUUAUCGCGAAAGUCAGCGAUUAAUUUGUUCUAACUCCUCCUAAAGUGAAGUGAGUGACUGAAGGAGUGUCUGU
rnacentral:lncRNA from 1 species